UGGGGAAUAUUGCACAAUGGAGGGAACUCUGAUGCAGCGACGCCGCGUGAGUGAUGAAGGAAUUCGUUUCGUAAAACUCUGUUCUAUGGGAAGAAAAGGACUGUACCAUAGGAGAAAGAUCCGGCUAAAUACGUGCCAGCAGCCGCGGUAAUACGUAUGGAGCGAGCGUUGUCCGGAAUUAUUGGGCGUAAAGGGUGCGCAGGCGGCUUUACAAGUUGGAUGUGAAAUAUUGUGGCUCAACCACAAACGUGCAUCCAAAACUGCAAAGCUUGAGUUAAGGAGAGGUAAGUGGAAUUCCUGGUGUAGCGGUGGAAUGCGUAGAUAUCAGGAGGAAUACCGGUGGCGAAGGCGACUUACUGGACUUAAACUGACGCUCAGGCACGAAAGCGUGGGGAGCAAACAGG
rnacentral:rRNA from 1 species